AGCGAAGCCGGUUAGAUACUGUAGAAUUAUGCCAUGAAGCACAGAAAUGACUUGCCAGGGAAGGCAAGUCAAGGAGCUAUCGAGCCAUGGAGGGCGAGUAGCGACGGUUUCGUCAAGCAUAAAAAAUCUGCAAGCAUAAUUCGUACAGUAUCUUAUCGACGUAGC
rnacentral:ncRNA from 1 species